CCCUCUCGCUCUCGCUCUCUCGUGCUCCCUCACUGUAUCCCUCUCGCUCUCUCGUGCUCCCUCUCUCAAUCUCGCUGCCACUCUCCUUGUGGACGGAAGGUUUCUUCCUGUCAGGUAAAAACAGAGGGUUUCUUCCCAUCUCGCUGCCACUCUCCUUGUGGACGGAAGGUUUCUUCCUGUCAGGAAGGAAGGUUAGGACAACUUGGGGAAUGUUUGGAAACAUCAUCUUCAAGUUUAAGCACCUCUAGAACUGCUGGAGACUCUAGUUCAAUGCUGGAGGUUACAGAGAAGCAAUUGGAUGAGAAGGAAAUUGGUGAAUAACCUUUUGUAGGCAAGUGAAUCACUUAUUCCACACAAGAAAGUCUUGGGGUACAAAAAGGUGAAGCAUGGGUUUGGCAUGAGGGUUCCAAGAUCGAUAUUGAGGUUCUUCAAUCAAUGAGAUUUUUCCAUGUAAGCGAUAUUGGUCUUGUUUCGAGUCUAACAGUUUGUCGGUUCUAAAUGAAGACCAACUUCUUCAGAUUUGUCUGGCAUAAGCAAUCACAAUUGAAGCCGAUGGACGAGAAGAUAGUAGCUAUUGCACUACAAGGAUUUCAAAAAGUUAUCUGUGACACCAGCUUAUUAGAGACCCGAAAAAGCAGUUGACCACCUAUGAAGUUCCGUGUAAAAGAUACAAUAAAAGUGGAUUUUUUAUCUCCCUCUCAUGAUUCCAGAAUCAAGGAAUAUCAUCUCUUCUUGAGGUGAAUGUAGAAGGACAUCAGGUUUCGGCUACUGGAUUUUAGAAGGGUGUUGCAGGGAGCAUAGAUCCAUUGCCAAAAUAUCAGAUCUGAGGAGUCUCUGGCUGAGGCAUCGUAAUCUAAGACAUGACCUUCAAGAACACAGCAGGCCCCAAAAUGUCACAAGCAGUCGCCUUUUGAUCAAACUCCAACCUCUCAGACUACUACCGCUGUGAAUUUCAUGGUUACCAAGACACUCUCUAUGCUCACUUUCUUGUGAAUGAAUGAAGGAUUGUAAUUGAUUCAUUAUUAAAUGAAUGAUUGUAAUUGAAUGAAUGAAUAAUUAUG